rnacentral:tRNA from 1 species
GGAACCGUAGUAGCGGAUUUCUACUCCGCGGGUUGCAGGUUCGAAUCCUGCCGGGAUCG